rnacentral:rRNA from 1 species
GACGAACCGUGCGAACGUUAUUCGGAAUCACUGGGCUUAAAGCGCGUGUAGGCGGGACGGCACGUCUGUCGCUGAAAUCCCCCGGCUCAACCGGGGAACGGGCGCGGAUACGAUCGUCCUGGAGGGGCGUAGGGGGACCUGGAACUUCCGGUGGAGCGGUGAAAUGCGUUGAGAUCGGAAGGAACGCCCGUGGCGAAAGCGAGGUCCUGGACGCUUACUGACGCUGAGACGCGAAAGCCAGGGGAGCGAACGGG